UACGGAUAUAUCUUCCUAGAAAAGUGUCCCUCUUGCAAAAAGAUUAUUUGCCCUUGUGUACGCUGUGAGGCUUAAGAAUCCAAUGAAUAUUGUGAGGAAACAGAUGGCUUUUCCAUUUACCGAGAUGGAAGUUUUGACAAUUGCGUUUUCGCUUGUGGUGUUCAGUUUGUUCACGGCAAGCGGAAUGUUCAAAGAGAAAUGCGCGCAUAUCAAAGACAGAGAAAGCCAAAGCUGUGGUCUGGGCGAGGACCUGAUCCUGGUCUGACAUGCUAAUGAAGCCCAAAGCCGACAUCAGAAAGACAUUUUUAUCUGAACCUGUUUAUUUAUUUAUUUUGUUGGACACCUAA